CCUACGGGGGGCUGUAGUGGGGAAUAUUGGACAAUGGGCGAAAGCCUGAUCCAGCCAUGCCGCGUGUGUGAAGAAGGCCUUCGGGUUGUAAAGCACUUUCAGUGGGGAAGAAAGCCUUGGGGCUAAUACCCUCGAGGAAGGACAUCACCCACAGAAGAAGCACCGGCUAACUCCGUGCCAGCAGCCGCGGUAAUACGGAGGGUGCGAGCGUUAAUCGGAAUUACUGGGCGUAAAGCGCGCGUAGGCGGUCUGAUAAGCCGGUUGUGAAAGCCCCGGGCUCAACCUGGGAACGGCAUCCGGAACUGUCAGGCUAGAGUGCAGGAGAGGAAGGUAGAAUUCCCGGUGUAGCAGUGAAAUGCGUAGAGAUCGGGAGGAAUACCAGUGGCGAAGGCGGCCUUCUGGACUGACACUGACGCUGAGGUGCGAAAGCGUGGGUAGCAAACAGGAUUAGAUACCCGGGUAGUC
rnacentral:rRNA from 1 species